rnacentral:rRNA from 1 species
UACGUAGGGUGCAAGCGUUAAUCGGAAUUACUGGGCGUAAAGCGAGCGCAGGCGGUUCUGUAAGAUAGAUGUGAAAGCCCCGGGCUCAACCUGGGAAUUGCAUUUAUGACUGCGGAGCUAGAGUGUGUCAGAGGGAGGUGGAAUUCCGCGUGUAGCAGUGAAAUGCGUAGAUAUGCGGAGGAACACCGGUGGCGAAGGCGGCCUCCUGGGAUAACACUGACGCUCAUGCUCGAAAGCGUGGGGAGCAAACAGG